GAGUGCAAAUCAUGAGAACUUACAAAUCUAGUGUCUGCUUCAACCCACACACAUACAUAAUAUCCUCGCCAUAAAUCCAAAUGCUGCAACUGUGUCUCCUCACACCUGUUCAGAUUUUACGAAGUCCACCACAGCUGAAACCCACUCGUCUUGUUGUGCAGUAUAGCAAUGGUCGGCACCUUGAAUGAUGUGUAUCUUGUGGUUAGGUAAGUUCUUCGCUAACUCGUACGCAUCCUCUACUGGUAUCGCUUCGUCCGCUGUACCAUGGACUAUCAAAAACCUGCACUCUUUGGCAAUAGAAAGACAUUCAGAGCGAAUAUCAAUGCUCAGUCUCUCCAUCAAACUCUCUUUCGUGACUCGAUACACGACUUUUCCUGUUCCAUCCUUCACAUCAAUGAAUCCAUCUUUCUCAAUUUUUUCCAUAAAUCCUUUGCCCAGCCGCUCUUCUAUACCUUUCUCUAAAGCAAAUCGUCCAGAAGCACUGAUGAAUGUGCCAACAUCACGGUAGGUUGAAGCAUAUAAGAGAACCGAAGUUGCCCCUUUGCUGUGCCCAACAAUAGCACUUAUUUCAUACUUUUUCUGAGAUAGAUAGAGGACUACAGCAUGCAAGUCAUCUCUCUCUUUCCGGUAGUUGCCAAUCUGGAAUUCACCUUCGCUUUCCCCAUUUCCUGAGAAGUCAAAACGAAAGAUGCUGAAUCCUUGUCCAGUUAAUCCGGCAGCAAGGUUAAGUAUAAGCUUUUCUUCCUUAGAAGAUGUGAGCCCGUGGCACAGAAUCACUAGUUUCUUAGAACCGGGAUCUUCAAGAACUCCAACAAGCUUUUCUCCAUACUUAUUUGGUAUUACAAGUCUUUCCUGAGUUAUGGCUGGGCUUU
rnacentral:misc_RNA from 1 species